rnacentral:rRNA from 1 species
UACGGGGGAGGCAAGCGUUGUUCGGAUUUACUGGGCGUAAAGGGCGCGUAGGCGGCGCAACAAGUCACUUGUGAAAUCUUCAGGCUUAACCUGAAGCGGCCAAGUGAUACUGGCGAGCUAGAGUACGGUAGAGGAUGGUGGAAUUCCCGGUGUAGCGGUGAAAUGCGUAGAGAUCGGGAGGAACACCCGUGGCGAAGGCGGCCAUCUGGACCAGUACUGACGCUGAGGCACGGAAAGCGUGGGGAGCAAACAGGGA